AUUAACCAGCGAAAAAAACACAAACAAAUCGCACGCAGGAUCGACGGGGCUCCCCUCGAUCUGUUUCCCAGGUCGAUCCUCAGGACGCCGCUGGGCGACAGCCCUUCGCCAUCGCCGAGAUCCGAGGGGAGCCGCCGCCACCGAGGUCCGGGAGGAGCCGCCGCCGCACCGUCUUCCUCCUCCGCCGACCUCCGAGGCGCCCAACUCGUGGGACGCCGCCGCCUUGCGGAACCCGAGGGCGGGGCAGGGCAUGAUCGCGUUGCGGUCGAGGUCCAAGAUCGCUGCCGCCGAGGUCCAAGAUCGCCGCCAUCGACCUCUGAGAUCGACAUCCCUCUCUAUUUCUGGUUCGCCGGCCUCUCUCCCUUUUACCAAUAACUCUCUUUUGUGCGCGUGCAUCGCUGCCGGCGUCCACUACCGGCCGCCUCCGCCGUCGAUUGGUGCCCCCAUGGCGCUACUGACUCCGACGAGAUCUCCUAUUUCCAACAUAUGCAGCCGCCUCGCUGUUCUGGCCCCAUGUGCGGACCCGUGGCUAACCCUAGCCAUCUCUAUCUCCGACGGUGAUGCCUCCUCUUCCUCUUGCAGCCCCGCCCUCGUCCUUGCUGGUGCUCCACAUGUAUAUCCGACGGUGACGGCGACCGACGGGCUGUGGGUCUACCAGAAGGCGCGGCAGGCGACAGCGCAAGGCCGCUCGCAGCAGGGCGCGUGGUCGAUGCGUGCGGGUGGUAGCCGGCGAGGACAUGUUGAUGUUCAUCCGGGGCACACGGUGAGUAUUCUAUGUUUAUGUGAAUAGAUGCAUCAGCCAUACGGCUGCACCAUCUCCAAGUAUUUCUGGGUCAAUCGUCCGAGCCCCAUGUCCAUGGCAACAACAGUGAGGUGAGCAGCAGCAAAGGCACCUCCGCCGAGGUGGUGGUCGGCGUUCGGCGUCUAGCAGUGGCCGCGGCGAUGCAGAGAAGUUGGAGGCCAGGAGGCGGGGCAAGAAGAUGGGGAUGGCGAGGCAGAGGAAGCGGUGGGCGGAGGCAGAGGAAGGAGAGUGGGCAAACUGCAUAGGGAGAUGCAGAGGAGACGGGUCGGCAGCAGGCAGAACGAGCAGCUGGGCGGCAAGGGCAUGGGGCCGGAGGAACUCUCCUUUGAGGUGCUCUGCGUGCUCACCUAGGUGCUCCUCUACGGCUGGGUCAUCGUUCCCGCGCUGAGCAAGUUCUCCAUCUCCUCGGGCGGCGGCUGCGGGGAGCCGUCGCAGCUGCAGCGGAUGGGCGCAGGCCGCGUCCUCAUGGCGAUCUCCAUGGCGAUCGCGGCCGUCGUGGAGACGAGCCGCCUCGCCAGCACGGAUCGUACAUGGGCAUGAUUGGUGGGGAUCGGACAUGGGCAUGACUGGUGGAGCUGAUAACGGACACAUCAAGAAACGACCAUAGCUCCUCGAGCCAGCUAAUCUGCUCGUUGCUCUCUCUAUCUCCUGAUUUGCCUCUCUGCUCUCUUUUCCAUUCAUCUCUUUUUAUUUAAUCCCCCCAAAAUAUCAUCUUUGUUGGUUCUAUGCCUUCAAGGUGUUUGAUGAAAGUUUAACUAGGCUGUAGGUAUAUAGCAUGUAACAUUUAUCCUAUGUUGUCUUUUGAUAAUUUCUUCUCCCUGAAAUUUAGCUGCAGACCUGGGUUAUGUGACUUGCCUGUAGUAUAUGUUGCCUCUGGGUUAUGUGGACUUGCCUGUGCAACAUAUCAUUUGAUAAUGAGCCUGAGGAAAUAUACUUGUGCUGGAUUGUUUGAGAUAUAUGCAUCAGAUAAGCCCAUGUUGCUGUGAAUUUUGCUGGUCUGACCAUCACUUUAUUUAUGCUUGCGUGUGUAAUUCCUGUUUUGUGCGCCAACAGUGGCCACUAUUUUGUCUCACCGGACAAAACCUGAAAAUGAUGGGAGGCCGCCACCGCAACAGACCGUCGGUGGCCAUGUGCGGGUGUCUUCCGGGAUCCAGCUGUGGUCGUCGCCGUCAUAUGGGUACCAGGGGAUAUGGAUGCUAGAGGAGGAGGACGUGCUUCUCCGGCCAGACCCAGGGUCAGGGCCGGCACGCCGCGGGCAUCUACUGCGACCAUGGCCACACGCCUGGGCUGACGCCGCUGAUGAAGCCGCACACCCUCAGCCACAAAUUUGUCCCCGAUCCCAUCCAUGCAACUUCUAAGCAUGUCUGUUUCCAUUAGCUGGCUUCUUGUUCUGUUCACUGAUGCAAAGCCAUUUGUGCAGGUGGGCUUCGCUGCCAUGGAAUGGCGCCUCUGAUUUCUCAGGUAGAUGAGCUCGGAUUCAUGGAUGCUAUGUCCAUACAGCAAACUGAGUGCUUCAAAGAAGAUGAGGUCAAGAAGGUGGCUACGCAAAUGAUCACAAAGAGAAGACUACCGCUGGGCCUUUUGAUCGACCACGCGAUUCAAAAAGCUCUUUAGUGCAGUUUGCAACAACAAAAAUCAGAGGAAGCUCUAAGUUGAUUCACAGAAGUUCAGAAGUUCAGUCCAGAUGCCAAGGCAUGCUUAGCAUCUCAUAGUCAGAGGCUAUCCCGUCUCAACAUUGCACCUAUGCAGGUUUUCAAUUUAGGAGAUGAUUUGCACCUAUCCAUUUACUCUAAUGUAUUACAUACUAAUCCUUUUGGAGGCAAGAACGGAAGAAAAAUCUGGUGAUGUCUCCACGAGUCAAGUUAUAUAGCCGUUUCUGACUUGAAGGAAUAUUUGUGGGAUUUCAAUCAUUAGGAAGUUAGAGGGCAUCUGCAGCUUGGCAAAGUAGAUGUUGUUGACAUCAAUUAUUAAUUGUUAUUUUAUAAUGUUCCAUCAUUUUGUUUUUACACUUUUUUGCAGGCACUAGCAAUGUUUUACCAUUGACAGAGCAUUGUGAAUAUGGUAACAGACUACUUGGGUGUUCUGAAAUCGAAUUCUGUAUAUAAUAUAAGUAUAUUCCAUGACAUGUGUUGCUGCUUCUGAUUAGAUACAAUAGCUUCUCUCUUUUUUAUCGUACAGCUGAGAUCUUCAUUACAUUACAACCUUAUGUUUUGCUUUUUUCUUAAUUGAAAUUGGUGUUCUCUCUCUAGGUUAAUGGAUCAUCCUGGGAAUGGACUAUGGAAUGGCAAACUAACAGGGCACAUCGCACAACUGGUUGUUGGUCAGGCCAGCUGAGGAGAGACACCAAAUUAAGAAGAGAGAGACAUCAAAGAUGGAGCUGUGUUUAGCUGCUCGCUCAUCAGACCUUACCCGGCAGAGCUGCUUGAGGGGCUUGCUGCCAUGCGGUUUUGCUCAAAAUAGCUAGAGCACACACGUGAUAGGGUUGCUUUGGUUUACAAGGAGGAGAGGCUGAGGCUGAUGCUUCUAGAGUUGGUGUACGUUGUGUAGAGAGAGUUUACGUAAAGAGUUUCAGGGGAGCAAAGCAGAAAGGAGUUCAGUGCGAAGGAGAAUAGGAGGGAGGAGAGAUCUGGACGCACCAAGACAAACAAGCGAGCUGAUCAUGCCGCCAACCUUGUUCUGUGCGGCUCGCUGGAGCUAGACGAUGAGUCCUUGCCUGCCUCCGGCCCUCCUAACAAUUGCUGUGAACCCUGUUAUGCGCCCUUGGCUGAUCAGCCAAUCUUACUAUACCUUUCCCCCUCCCGGUUCAUCAUGCUCAGGUCCUAGCUUGCAUCUUGAAGGACUUGGCGCAGUUGUGACGUUAAUGAACAACACUCCAAUCAGGGACCACAGUGACCUCGGGGAGGAGAUCAAGAGAAUCAACAACCCUUGGUGGUUUUCCUCAUCAUCGGCACAACUGCAAUCAGCAACAAUGAUGACCAGCUCACAAGGCAGCUACUGAACCGUUCGAGCCUUGUUGAAAAGACAACAUGGAGACCGAGAGUGAUCCAGAGAGAGGGGGGGUGACCGGGAGAGGGAGGAAGAGUGUUCGAGAGAGGGAAUGAGGGAGAGUGAGGAGGAAGAAACCUUGCAAGUACACAUUGGUAGGACAACCAUAUUCUAAAAUAAAAAAUGGGAUUUGGUGGGAUCCCAUCAUUGUCUUUGUUCCCGGUGUCUGUCACACACGAUAACUUUAAUGUCGAAUGCAUAAUGGAUGCAUUCUUAAAUUA